AAGGCGUUAAUAGACAUGACAAUGCUAAGAGUAACUUUCCUAUAACUUUUCUGAAAGUUCUUCUGUCUUAAAUGAGAACUGCUUUAAUAUCUUUUCCUGUACAACUUGUAUUUAUAUUCAGACUCACUAGAUAUUUAAAUCAUGAUCACGACAGCAAAGCCAACUCUUUCUGUAUUGUUGCCAAGAAAAUGACCUAGACAUGUCCUCAGAAGUCAAACUUGACUGAAAGAAAACUUUGUUGAAAAUGCCAUUAUGGACUGAUUCCCACAAAAGAUCGAAAAUAACAAUAAUAGCUUAUUGUUAUUGUUAGAUUGUAGGAGAUUGAAAAGACAGAGGCAGUUUUUCGACUUCAACUCUUUAUUAUACAAGUAAAACCCAGCAACUCUCUGUCUGACAGCUUGCCCUUUUAUAGGGGCUGUCAAACGGCUUAGCCAUCUAGGCUUGAACUAUUUUUCCUGCCUAGAUGACGGACUUGAGUGAAGCCUAUUCUUCGGCUUCACUCCCUUAAUUGAGUAUUCAACACCCUGCCCCACCUACAUAGAUUAUUGACCAAUUGGGAGUUGGUUAGGUGAUGUAGUCAUGCAGGUAGGUGGGGCAUCAAUGGACUUGCUGCGACCUGUGCAGUUCAAUUGGAGCAGUGGUGGUGACCAGAUCAGUUGGAUCUGAUGCUGCUCUUUGCUCAGCCAAUGGAGCCUUCUGGAAUUCAGCCCUGGGCAUGGUCAUCUCUCCUGGAACCGAUUCGCGGAUGGUUCUUUGCUGGAUUCCCAGUUCUCCAGACUCUACCUCAAGUAUUGUGUCCAGUUUGGGGCAGUGCAUUCGAAUUGGAAAAUGGAUUCGAAUUGGAACAUGUUCAGAAAAUGCCAGCAGGCUGAUGGCAGCAUCACAAAUUGUCCUCUGAAGAUAAAUUAGGGAAGUGAACAAUAUUUUGCCUUACAGAAGAGAAUGCUGAGGUGAAUCAUAUUCAGUUUGCAAUCAUUAUGCUAACCAGAUGCUUUUUUGGAUUACUGCAAUGUGCACCAUGUGGGGCUACCCUUUAAGACUAUCUAGAAGCUGCAACUGGUCCAGAAUUCAGUGCAAGACUCCUCAACAUAUAUUUUAACUUCAUGAGUACAAAGUGUUGAUUGUGACACUGAACUUUAUCUGCAUUCUGCUGGAGGAUGAAGGUUCCAAGGUCAUUCUGGAUGUUUAAGUAAAAGCCUUAAUAUGUUGGACAACUAUA